AAUUCAAUAAGGCCACAUGCAAAAUUCUAGCCCUCAGAAGGAAUUGCCAACUCUACAAUAGUCUGAGUGGCAGCAGCCAGUGCAGGAGAAUUGUGGUCAUGGCAGGCACACAGUGAACAUUUGUCAGGAAUUCACAUUGCUGUGGAAAAGGAAACUGUGCUGAAGAGACAGGAAUCCAUCAGGUUACUGCAUCAAGCAAAAUAAUUCGUUGUGAAACUGAGGGGAAAAAAAAAGCAGAAGAGCAACUGGAAUUCACUGAGGCCAAGGAAUCUGGCAUCCACAUCCCAUUUUGGAACCACUAAAGAUUCCCAAGACAAAAAGCAGCUUGUUUCUGGGACAUAUCACCCAGUUUACAGUAGCAGCAGAUAAAUUUAAUAGUGAAAGAAAGCUUCCAAACAGCAGCAGUGAUAAAACCAGGUACGUUAGGCUAUUUAUUUGUUUUGUGAUAUAUCUCUAACCUGCCUAAUGCUGCAGGAGAUGGCAUGCUGUCUUUUCCUUUUAUUUAUGAAGUAACUGUGUGAACCUGAUGGCUCCAAUAUUGGACCACCUAAAUUAUGACUGUAUUUAGAUGUAGAUGAAACCCAGAGGGUUUUCUCGCAGCUCAUACUAAUCAGAGCAGUUAAUAAGGGAGUGAUUGAUGAAUCAGGUGCUGAUAGUGUUUGUGCUGUGAUUACAAUUUGGUAAUUCUGGGGUUUAUUUGCAUAAUCACCCCAUGCCAGCCACAGUGGCCUGACAUUGACUGAACUUGCAAUAGCGCUAGGAAUAACCAACUGAUUGAGUUACUGCAGCAAAACACUUUUGUUUGUUAUAAUGCCUUCUAGACACGGGGUACACUGAAAUGCUUCACAGCAUUAAAGUCACAACAGACAUCAAAGUGAAGCACAACUUCCCUUGGGGGCUUCAUGCUUUACCCCAUAGUUGACCAUGCAGGGCAUUUUUAGUGCUGGUUGCAGAAGAUACAGUCUUUAUAGGCUGCUGAACACAAUAUGGGGUGGUGGUAGAGAAGAUGAAGCCAAGGGAAAAGGGUUUCUAUAUUGGCUGGGUUUCUAUAUUGGCAAUAAGGCUUUUAAGAACAUGAGGAGUUAAAAAAAGCUCUCUGAAACCAUCAGGAAGUCUUAGAACAUCUUAGCCAGCAGCCUGGGUAGAGAGUGUCAGGGAGAGGCAAAGGGUAUGAAAAACAAAUACAGACUUAAAGCUGUAGCUGCAUUGGGAUAACUGAAGAGAUGGGAGGAUGGAGGAGAUGAGACCAACUUGUUGGUUUGCUGGUGAAGAGAAAGGAGAAGGCAGUGACAGAUGUGUCUCUUAUACCUGGCUUCCUAUUUUUGCACAAUUUAGGGUGUUUUCUGUGAGGAAAAAAAAAGUUAUCUUUGGACAUGUAAAAGGAAUUAUAGUAGAUUUUUUUUUAAUAAAGAAGUUACCAGACA